CAACUACUUUAUUUUCCAGAUAUUGCAUCAAAUGACUUUUUCUUUUUUUAAAUUAAAAUUCUCUCUCAAAAAAAAGAAAUUUAACACUGUAAAAAAUCAUAUGAAGGAAAUUAUAAAAGUUUUUAGAUCUCUGAAAGAAAACAAUUUUAAAACAUGUUUUGAAAAUUGGAAAAAACAGAUGGAUAAGAUCAGGGCCAUAUUUAUAUUUUUGGAGACCCUAGAUGCAACAUUGUUAUGAGGCUUCAGAAUAACAAGUCUAUUUCAAUUAUGAAUUUAAUAUUUAAAAAUAAGUAGUUUAUUUUGCACUAUAACUGGGCUG
rnacentral:lncRNA from 1 species